UACGAAGGGGGCUAGCGUUGCUCGGAAUCACUGGGCGUAAAGCGCACGUAGGCGGCUCCUUAAGUCAGGGGUGAAAUCCUGGAGCUCAACUCCAGAACUGCCUUUGAUACUGGGAGGCUCGAGUCCGGGAGAGGUGAGUGGAACUGCGAGUGUAGAGGUGAAAUUCGUAGAUAUUCGGAAGAACACCAGUGGCGAAGGCGACACACUGGGCCAUUACUGACGCUGAGGCGCGAAAGCGUGGGGAGCAAACAGG
rnacentral:rRNA from 1 species